rnacentral:lncRNA from 1 species
UGCUAAAAGAAGAUGUUUGGGCAAGAAGAGAGCACUUACUUUAUACUUUAUUCUCCAUUUCCCUUAGGUGUUUGGCAAGACCAGGAUGCGCAAUGGCAAGAUAUUGGAUGGAGAAAUGGAAUCAGACGGAGGCAUCAUUGAGCUUAUUCUUCUUGACUCAUCUCAGUCCAAACAUUACUCUCUCAAGUGUUGUUCUUAAAAUCUGCAUAUUAAAAGGUCAGCAUCAUCUAUUUGUGAGCUCUGUGU